GAUAAAUUACUCAACAGGAAAAUGUAGAACACUGCCAGAGUUUGUACUUUUUUUAGUUGUAAUGGAAAGCUACUGGAAUGUGUUAAGCAAAGGAGGAACAGGGAAUGACUUAUGUUCAUGGAGAAUCAUUCCUGCUCCUUUGUGGUAAGAAUGGAAAUGAAGAAAGCAGCAAGGAGACUAUUACGGAGGUCCAGGAGUAGAAAACCCUGAGAGCUAUACUACUGUGUAUGCUGCUGCUUCUCUGGGUCUAGCCAUACAGAGGGACUGCCACACUUCAAGUGGAUGCUUGGGAAUGUCUGCAAGGGAUCCAGUGAUGUUACCUGUCCUCAAGUCUCACAGCAGUGGGUACCAACACCAGCUCUGAUGCGGGUGACAGGUAUCAAGAAUGGUGCUUCCUUCAUGAAUAGUACAGACCUUGCCAACGGAUGAAAUUGACAGAAAUAAGAGGGAAUUAUUAAAUCUACUUUGGAAGUUAAGAGAGACCUUUCUUAAACACACAAUAAAUGCAUUAUAGGGGCUCAGAUGUUUCUGGGAAGAUUGUGAAGAUAUAGACUGAUUGGUGUUCAUGUAAUUGUGACGGUAGAGACUGAGAGCAGCAAAAUAUUAUGUAUGCAGUUGACAUCUUAUACGAAGAAUUUGGAGUAUGGACAUUACAUGAUUGUCUCUCAGCCACCCUAUGGAAAACUGAAUUGUAUGGCUGUACUUCCCUGGAAUUUCAACCCGUAAAUUAAACUCAAUUAUUUGUAGCCGAGGUUCUUAAAUAAA